UUUAAUAUUAAAUAUUUCGAGCUAUAUUAUUUAUUUAUAAGAAUCUCAGAAAACGGGUGCGUUCGAGCAAUGUUCAGUCACUUUGAAUUCUAUUCUACUACAAAUUAUAAAUUGGAGUGUCGGUCGGAACUCUUGGUAGGAAGAAAUAGUGAAUGCGACAGCUGUCAGAGAGAAAUGCGACAAAAAGACGUGUGGUUUCGACGGCGCAGUAAAUACAUUAUGUAUACAUAUAGAGUAGGUUGCCUUUGUGCUUGCUGCUAUCUGAUCUGAUAUGACUAAUAUGUAUAACAUAUAUAUACGUUGUACGUAUGUAUAUAGUCAUCACCAGCAGAAGCAGAAGCAAACCCAAACCCCAAACCAAAGACCCAACGCUAACUGAUGACGUUAACCUUUCUUCGUCGUCGUCGAUGUGAGAAUGAAAAUGAACCGUGCUAAUGUUUACGAAUUCGUCUGGUGUUAACAUGAUCGUCUCAUAGCCAAAUCGUAUAUCUGUUGCAAGGAAAUUAUAGCAGAAUUUGGCUGGGUGAUCAGUUCGUCUCGUAGUACUUAACGCAAAUCGAGAGGAAGGAGAAGAGAAUCUAACAAAAAUACGUACGGACGAGGAGAAGUGUAAUAUAUAAAUAUUAUAAUCGAAACGUGCGUCGUCGCGGGAAAGAGUUUUGCGACAGACCGUAGUCGUUGGAAAUUCUUUUACGUUCGGAACGCCCUUUUUAUUUAACAAAAAAGUGGAGAAUAUCGGGCAUGGAAAAUACUUUGCACAAGAAUAAUCAGGAUGAUUCAGACUCGGAAGUGGAUGAGGUAGAGCCCAGGCUUAAAUACGUCAGGAUGCGAAAUGAUUUGGAACACAUAUUGCAGAACGAUGCCGCUAGCUGCAUAGCAGUGCACCCUAAGUUCCUAUGUUUAGGCUCGCACUGGGGCAUGAUACAUCUUCUGGAUCAUCAGGGAAACAAUAUCCAGUCGAAAAGUUUGCAAGCUCACACCGUCGCUGUGAACCAGAUUUCCAUAGACCAAAAAGGAGAUUUCAUCGCGUCCUGCAGCGACGAUGGAAAGGUUUUUAUAUAUGGUCUUUACAGCACAGAGAACAAUCAUAACAUGAGCAUGGGUAGAUUGGUCAAGAGCAUCGCUAUAGAUCCAAAUUAUUAUAAGAGCGGCAGCGGAAGGAGAUUUAUCACGGGGGAUGAUAAAUUGGUUUUGUAUGAAAAAACUUUUUUAUCCAGAAUGAAACUAACUGUAUUGUGCGAAGCGGAGGGCGGGGUAAGGUCAGUGGCAUGGAUUGGACAUUUCGUGGCAUGGGCUUCCGACACUGGUGUCAGGGUGUACGAUUUGAACGCCAGAUGUUCGUUAGGUCUUAUUAAAUGGACCAGGUCCGCUGAUGCGUUACCAGAACAUUAUAGAUGUAAUCUUCGGUGGUCGGACGACAGAACAUUACUAAUCGGUUGGGUCGACGUGGUACGAGUUUGUCAAAUUAGAAAAAGAUCGAUACAAGAAAUGGUCAACAGAGAUCUGCCGGAGUAUGUGGUAGACCCAGUGUCAACGUUUCAAGUGGACUUUUACAUUUCCGGUAUUGCACCGCUGGAAAAUCAAUUGGUGUUACUGGGUUGUUUGAAAGAGACGGACGAAAAUGGGAAAAGUCAGAGACCGACGUUGCAUGUUGUCGAACCGAAGUAUCAAGAUUUCUCUGUUGUCUGCGGGAACUCUCUUACGUUACGUGGUUACAAAGAGUAUAGUUGUAACGAUUAUCAUUUAGACUGUUUGAUAGAAGAGAACAGAUUCUUUAUCGUAAGCCCGAAGGACGUUGUUGUGGCCAGUUUGUACGAUGCGGAUGAUAGAAUCGAGUGGUUAUUGAUGCACGGAAAAUUCGAACAAGCGUUGGAGGCAGUGACGGUGAACAACGGCAAAGACUGUAAGAAACACACAUUGGUGAACGUCGGUCGCGUAUAUUUAGAUCAUUUGUUGACUUGUGAAAAGUACGAUGAGGCAGGAAAAUUGUGCUUGAAAAUCUUAGGGAAGGACAGGAAAUUAUGGGAAGAAGAAGUAUACAAGUUCGCCAGGGUGCAUCAAUUGCGGUCGAUCUCUUCUUACUUGCCGAGGGGCGAUGUAACGUUGGAUCCAUUGAUUUACGAGAUGGUUCUCUACGAGUAUCUGAAAAUGGAUCCCGACGGAUUUCUGCAACUGGUCAAGGAAUGGUCGCCGAAAUUGUAUAAAGUCGCAGCCGUCGUGAACGGCGUCUUGGAACAUCUCCUGGUUCACAAUCAGCAGCAGAAACCGGAUAGAACGGUGUUGUUGGAAGCGUUAGCGAUUUUGUACAUUCACGACGGGAAAUACGACAAAGCGUUAGCGAUGUACUUGAAGCUGAGGCACAAAGACGUGUUUCAACUGAUUCAAAAGUACCAAUUGUACCACACCGUUUACGACAUGAUAGAGGGUCUGAUGGAUCUAGACGCAGAACGAGCGAUACAAUUUUUUCUGGAGAAGGACAGGGUGCCGUCCGAUGUCGUUGUACAAGAACUGCAACGUAAUCAACGAUAUUUAUAUUUGUAUUUGGACGCGUUGGACAAGAAAGACUCGAAGGGGAAAUAUCACGGGUCGCUGGUCCGACUUUAUGCCGAUUACUCACGAGACAAAUUGUUACCGCUUCUACGCCGAUCGGAUAAUUAUCCGAUACAAGAGGCCCUAGACAUAUGUAGUCAGCGAAAGUUCUUCCCAGAAAUGGUGUAUCUGCUUGGCAGAAUCGGAAACACGUCUGAAGCUUUGGCGCUCAUGACCAGGGAACUGAACGACAUGGAAAGCGCGAUCGCGUUCUGCCAAGAACACGACGACGAGGAAUUGUGGAACGACCUUAUCGUUUAUUCGUUGGACAAACCUAAGGCGAUCACGUUUUUACUGCAGAAAAUAGGCACCUACGUUGAUCCUAGACUCAUGAUACAAAGUAUAGAUCCAUCUUUAGAAAUACCUGGUUUGAAGAAAGCUUUGGUGAAAAUGAUGUGCGAUUACAAUCUUCAAGUGUCGGUGCAGAAAGGUUGUAAGAAGAUACUGUCCAAUGAUUAUUUUAAUUUACAAGAAAGACUCAUUAAAUGUCAUCAGAAAGGAAUAUUUAUAGACGACGACCAAAUGUGUGGAGCAUGCCAUAGGAAGAUAAUUGUACGAGAGCCAAGAAAUCUAGUUGUAUUUUAUUGCAAACAUUCGUUUCACGAAGAUUGUUUACCAAACUUCGAAGUUGUGGAAAAUUGCGUUAUAUGUAAUUCUCAGAAGGAUACGUCUCUUGGUGGUGGUGGUGGUGAUGGCGGCAGGAAAUGAUAAAGGUAACAGAUUCGAAAUCGUCGAGACAAACGUUUUCUGCGAUCGCGGCCGCGCAUAAUUUACUGUUUCAAUCUUUUCAAGAUUUCAUCGACGGUGGUACACUUCAUACACGUCCGUGAUAUUUUCAAGCAACCGGGACACUUGGAGUGAGACUGAAAAUUAAACGGAAGUGUGUCAUGUCGUUGCGACUCAUCACGCUCUCUCGUUAUCCACAAGUUUUUAGAAUUCAAACGUUUCGCGUGUCACACACUGGUUCAUGUCGUCAAAUCAUAACGAUGCAGUGGAACUUUGCAGUCGCCGAGCUGAUGACCUUCGACCCACCGAAAUGACCGUCAAUCGACAUCGAGGAUUGUACGUGAACAAAGAACUCGCGCUCCUCGGGACCGAGCGAUUCCACUAAAAUGCAAUAACAGCCUAUCGGCUUCCCAGCUCCCGUCGUAGAUUCAUCUUUCGAGCAGAUCAUUAGCGACUCUCGAAAGCAUAGAGCUGCUCUCUUCUCGUGGUCUGAAGUGCAACGAACAGAAGAAAAAAAAAAAGGAAAGGAAGUGCACAGAAAAGUGGUGGUGAUGUGGUGGCGGCCGCUGGCUCGCCGAUAGCAUCCAAAAUUAAUUUAUUGCAUACGCGGAAUAAAAAAUAUUCAAAGUAGACACAUUCCAUACACACCCACGUACACGUGCGCGCGUACGCGCGUAACUAAUCUUACCAGUGGCAAAUAAAUUCAACGAUAUGUACAUUAA